rnacentral:lncRNA from 1 species
GUGACAAACACGCUCUACCCUGUGCUGAAAUCCUCCAGUCAUUGGCCGCCCAGCUACUGUUCGCUCAAUUCCCCCUUUCGCCUGCAGGUGGCAGCACCAGUGCCGACCGCUGUCCGGUGAAAGCGCUAGGGGACUGUGAGUCAAGGGAGAGUAACUUAGAGACAGAAGAUGAGAACCGGGUUAGAGACAGAAAUAGGAUCCCACGAACUCCGACUCCGGAUAAAACAAGGCAUUCAUUUAAACCCCUCCAGUCUAGGUGAAACUGAAACUCGGCGUGAGCAGGCCUCGAGGGCCCAGGAGACCUGCAACACGGGGUGGGCCCGGGGAGGGCAGGCGCAGCAUCCUUUGCCCGGCCUACGUCGAAGCCAUUGCGAGGGCGCUGUGGACAGGGGCCUGAGCCGUGUCCUGUGCGGGUAUCAGUCCUUUCACGGCCUUACUGCAGCACCAGGGCCGGCCCCUGGCGUUUCAUAAGACUUUACAUAGCUGCAUCCACGGAGGAUCCGCGCACAGUCAGCUGCCCUGCCACGACGUGCUCUCCCUCGGGGGGACAGCCGUUACUCCUCACGUCCGAGGGGUGGGCUGCCGCGGACUCCAGGCACUUACUACCCGCUUACCACAGGAUUUGCAGAAGCACAGGAAUCGGUCCAGGCUCGGCAGUCUCGGGACGGGAGGCCUCAUCCUUUAGACCAGACACGGUAGUGCUGACUUUGCCCUCCACUUUUCCUGUGUAGGGACCGGUCCUCCAUGUCUUUCUAUGUCUUCUCUCCUCCCCUCAAAUGAAUGCUAAUCACAUCCAAACCAAAAGAUCAGAGACGAAAAGUGGCCUUCUUCAAGAAAUCUUACGUUUGUAAGAAGAGAACUGGACACAGCUGCAUGAUAUAUAAGGGCGUCAUUUCGGGCAUGUGGACAGACUCCUGGGGGAGAUCUUUGGGAGCGGUAGGUUUCUUUCUAGGAUUCCUGAAGUUACAUUUCAUAACUCACAACUGGCUCAUGCCUUACUUAAGGCCACACACACGUGGCUGAGAGGGAAGUCUGACUUCCUGGCAAAUCUCCUUCUCUUCGUGAAGCGUGGAGAUGGGACCUUAUUAAUUUGAAUAGCAACUUAGAGCCUCAAAAGAGAAGAAUAAUAAAAUGAAGAAACUUCUUUAAUCGAAGCUGAUUCUCUAGGAAUGGCAGUUGCUUUUAUUUAGCCACAGGUUUGAGAGACAGACGUUAUUCACAUGGACUUCUGACAGGAAUGAGUCUGGUUUUCUGAAGUGGUGGACACAUGAGGCCGCAGAUGCUGCCCUGAGGAGCGUGGGCCGGGAGAAUGGCACCCACAUCAGUGGUUGGCUUUGAGUUUUAGAGGAGGCAACAACUGCGAAAAGUAUUGACGGGGAAGGGCAGGCUGCGCUCAGUGUCAGCUCUCUGGAGUUCACCAACACUUUCUCAGAGCCGUGGAGACCCCUGCCCGCCUCACAGCUCUGUUCUGAGGGCCAAGUUAGACGCUUGCCCUGUGGAGACCCAACCAGCUGGAGAAUGUGACAACUUGUGUGGCAUGCUGCUGUGACCGUGAUCCCAGGCUGUACAUCACAAUCAUUUGGGGACACUUCUUCUGCAUUGCAAUAUAUUGAAAACUCACAUACAUCAUGCAGCUCGUGCCACCUCCAUCCAAGGAGGUGACUCACAUUCUGCCCCAGCUCCUCUUCUAUGUACUCCUGGGGUGGGCGCAUGCAGGGAUGUCACCUCUAAGUGCUACUAUGAAAAUGUUGCCUGGAAGGCAAAAGCUUCUAGGAACCCCUGCAUUUCAAAGCAGAAGCCUUCCAGCUCACAGACGUCGGCCUGCCACUCACAUCUCUGCUUGGCCUGUUUUUGUAGCAUGUCCACCUCCCUCUCCAAUCUGGAGGACCUGCCCUUAGCCUGGAGGAGCUUGGCCAAGGACUCUACGCUCAGGGCCAGGGACUCCUCCGGACUUGCUCAUAGUUCCCCUCCUCAUCUCCAGCCAUGUCCACGGAUGCCCUGUCCCCUGGCAAAUUCUUUAAAUCGUGUCUUUCCUGUGACGCCAAGUUGACAAGCAGAUUUUUCAGCUUUUGGUUUUCUUCUUCACACAGUUUUAGGGAAUCCUUUAGCUCAGAGACAUUCUCAGACAGAUUCUUACUAAUUUCCCUGCUGAUGUUAAGAGCUGUUUUUGUCAAUUUCAGCUUUCCCUCAAAGCCUGUCAAACCUUUAUAAAUCGGAUUUCCAUGGACAGCUCUUCCAACUCUGGUUAUUCUCUGGUUUGAAGGCAUGGCAGCCUUUGCUCCCUCUGAACAAGAGAACUCCCAGAAGAAAAAGGCUCCCCAAGGGAUAUGCCACCAGGACAGCUGAAGUUGGUCCCAGGCCAGAGGUCUUCAGGCCAUGAGCCCACCAGCACCUCAGCACAGUGACCCAUCAGGGGGACCGCACUCUGAAUGGCCCCAAGCACUGGCUAGGCCACAAACCAUGGACGUUUCUGAGCCUGGCUCCAACAGAGGCAGCAACCUCUGCCCUCACAGACAGCCGCUGACCUGGUCCCUCCACUGGAAGAUGGAUUUCCGCCUGGACUGGUGGCUUCAGAUUUCUCAUGUCUGGGUCAAGAUGCCCACAUUUUUGUGUUCAGGUUGUUUUGUCGAGUUUUCUGGGCUUCCUUCUGUUUUACAGAUUGAUUGAAUCGUGGUGGGGUUUGGGGGCAGCUGGGACUGGUUCUUCUCUUUCUGGUGGUUGGGGCACCACCUGGGGGCCAGGGACAUGGCCAGGGCCAAGGUAGCCAGGAGGCAAUGCGAAGUUUCCGAGGCUGCUUUUCUCACUCUCUGCAACUUCUGACCUCAGAUUGUCUGAGUGCAGCAUGGUUGAGGGGGUGGCACAUGACUGGUAUUCGGUAUUUUUUUUCUACCAGGUAGCAGCCUCUUCCAGCCAGCUCACCUGGGCCUGGCAGGGGUGCUGACCAUCCCAGGCAGAGGAGGGCUCAUCGCAGAACGAAAAGGGAAAACUUGGGGCCAGACACCUGGUGUGCAACUGGGUUGGGGGGUCAUUGGUAGCUCUUUGUUGCGCUGGGGGUGGGAGGCUCCUAGUUGGCUAGGUGUCCAGGGUGCUCACUGACCCUGUGCUGAGCUGGCUCAGAGGGCUCCUGAUUGGCCGGGUGUCUGCUGCUGUGUGCUGACGUGGUCGGAGGGCUCUCAGAUAUCCUAUCCUGAAUCUAGUUUCGAUGCCGGAGAUCUGAAGGUCCCUGGGCCACCAGCACCUCAGGUGAGUGGUCUGUUGUACUCUGACUCCAAAUGGGAAUGUAGGUGAGGAGCGCCUCCGGGUUUGGGUCCCUGAGGCGCCAGAUGCAGGUGCGGGCCUCGCGGGACCGCAGAGGGGCAGGAUGGUGUGGCGAACAGGAAGGUGAAGCCCAUAGUGUGGGUGAGAGGCCUGGGGCGGGACGAUGGGUGGAGGGCGCGCUGUCCUUCGGGUUGAAGAAUGUGGUGGAGAUAGCGAAGUGAAGGAGUAGAGGCGGAGGUGCCCUGUCUCUCAGCAAGGCCUCAGAUAGGUGCCACGGCUUUUAUAACCACCCUGACUCGUCACAAUGCCUCCCUGUGACGUCACAGCUGCGCUCCUGGCCAAUCGCCAAGUGAUUCUCAGCUGGUCUUGCUUGUGCGGCCAAUCACCACGGAGCUUGGCGGGCCAAUCGCCAGGCGGCUCUCACUGUGGCCCUCUUGACGUCACGACCCUGACACCAUCUCCCAUCCCCUAGGGGUGGGGGGUGUUCACACCGACCCUUGCCCAUUGCAGCACCCAGUUCUCGCUCCUCCUUCGCACAGCCUUCCUUUCACAGGUGGAGCAAAUGGGGGUGGGGGCAGUGACCGGCCCACUCAGGGCAGCCACCUGGUGCUCCCAGGACCACGGGAUCUGAGAGCUGGCGUAAGGGGGGCUGUUCCUCACGUGAUGUGAGUCCUCCCUGGGGACCCGCCCAUCGCCAAAGCUCCGCCCAGGCGUUUCCAUGGUGACCCUAACCACACCCCGGAUUCUGAGGUUCCCUUUGCUGCCUAAGCUUCUCCCAUCUGAUAUCAGUUCUGAGGAGGGGACCUCUGGGAAACGGAAAUCAGUGCGGGGUGGGUGGGCUGCUGUCCGAGGGCCUCGGUGAGAGCCUCUGGAAGAGGAUCCCAGAGGAGCUGCCAUGGCCUGCCCCUGCUGACAGGGUGAAUAAACGCUGGAGCCUCCUGACUCUGGACUCGCCAGGCGAUUGAACACUCUGGCAGGGAACAGGAGCAAAUGCAUUCUCUGCAGAGACUGAGCCAAAGGAGCUUUGGAGUUGAGGACUCAGGGUACAGCGGUGGGGCAGAGCAGAGUACCAAAUGGAAAAGAGUGGGAUUAAGUGAGAGCCCACAUCCUGAGCAGGCUCCCUUCCCCAAUACGCUCUCAUCAGAAAUACCUAAAUCAUGUUGACCACUUCUACCCAGGUAGAAUCACUUCUACCUGGAAGAACUGACCAGUCUAAGAGGAAAUACUGACAGAAAGGAUUUAUCAACAAAAUGGCUAGUUUUCAAUAAGCCCCACCAUGCGCACUGGACAUCAGCUUUUUGGCUUCUCACUUUCACAUAUGAGUAAAUAGUCAUGAUCACCAGAAACCAAAAUGGACAGACAAACAAAUGAAAAACACAGGAAACAAGGAAGGUCCUACAGUCCAGAGAGGAGUCCACAAAAGGAGAAUAGUUUACAUAUAAAGGACUGAGAGGCAGAAUAACAUGGGACUUUUCAAUGGCAACUUGAAAAUUAGAGGACAAUGGAACAAUACCUUCAAUAUUCUGAGGAAAAUAGUUUUCAACUUAGAUUUUCUUACCCAAACAAACUGUCCAUCAAGUCUGAGAGCAGGCCAGUUCAGACAUGAAAAAUGCUUAUCUACUGUGUAUAAUUUAUCAUGAAGACACUGCACGAUGUGAGCCUCAAACACCAAGAAAGAGGAAGCUUGGGAUUCAGGAAAUGGAAGAUUCAACGUGAGAGAGAAGACAUCCAGGACGAUAGGGAAGGAACUUUCCAGAACAACAACUAUGCAACAGGCCUUGAGAUUAACAACCUGCCUGGAGAAGGAGGGUACAGGGCUCCAGGAGGAAAGAAAAAUAAAAGAACUGAUGGAUCAUCUGAUACAUUUGACUAUGUGGAAAUGAAAGGCUGUUACAGAAUAUGGGAAGACAUAACCACAGGAAUCAAGAAGCUUAACAGUCAGAAACACAAGGUGGGAGGACAGAGGACUGCAAGGAAAGAUGUAGCUAAGGAAAGAACUGAGCUAAUAGACUCCUGAUGUGUUUGUAUUGAGAGGAGUUCUAUGGUUCUAUGUGAGAAUUUUGGGGAUGAAAUUGAGCCAUAGAAAGAUAAGGCAAUUAUUAAAUCCAGGAAAAACAGAAAGCUAUACAAGAAAGGAAAUGUUAUCAUAGCACGUUACAUGACUCGGCUCUAAACAAUGUUAUAUAUUAACCAUAACAUAAACAGUAAAUAUAGAUUUAACCAAAAGUUCAAAUAUAACUAUAUUGUCAAGAUUAGGGCAGGAUAAAUGUGUGUGUGUGCACCAGUUAUUACACUAUUGUGUCUCAGCUUCAAACCCACCCUUCUACACUUUGCUCUGUGAUGCUGGGGCCAGAACUUUGCAAACUGCGUUUUUCCCUUGCCAGCUGGCUCCAUGUUAGGCCCUGUCAAUAAGGGAACUAGAGGGAUAUUGCAGAGCUGGAAGAGGAAAGAACUUACGCCUUUCUGUCUGCUUCCUUUGCUCUCAAUGUUCAUUCAUUCAUUUAAUUAUCCAACAAAGAUUUAUUGAAUGACUACUGUGUGCCAAGCACUGUUCUGGGUAUUUAGGACUCAUCAGUGGCAAUACCUCUGCCUCCAUAGAGCUUACCUUCCAGUAGAGAAAGAGAGAUGAUAAAAAAUGUACAUAAUACAUAAAUUACAUAGUGUGAGAAAGAAAAAGCAGAGUGAGAGCAAUUGGGAACGCAUGGGUGAGAAGUAUUACAAUUUUAAAUAGGGUGGUCAGGGUAGACCUCUUUGGAAAGGAGACAUUUGAGCAAAGAUUCAGCCUUAAAAUGAGAAUGGCAUAGCGAUUAAGUUCGCACGUUCUGCUUCGGUGGCCUGGGGUUCACCAGUUCGGAUCCAGGGUGCAGACAUGGCACCGCUUGGCAAGCCAUGCUGUGGUAGGCAUCCCACAUAUAAAGUGGAGCAAGAUGGGCACGGAUGUUAGCUCAGGGCUAAUCUUCCUCAAGAAAAAAAAAAAAAAUGAGAGUAGGCCUGGCAUGUUGGAGGAACAGCGCAGAGGCCAGCAUGGCUGACCGAAGGGAGGGCAGUGAAAGCAAUGAGGAAGCUGGAAUCAUUUGCCUUUGGGAGAAGGGAACUGGCGUGGAGGAGGGUUUGGGCAGAAGACUGCGUUUCUUUGUUACAAGUCACAUACGAUCAUUUCACUUUUUAAACCAUAAACGUGUACAACCUUUACAAAAAUAAAGAUUAAAUUUUAAAAUAAUGCCUCACAAAAUACAAUGGUAUCCUGGGACAGAAAAAGGACAUCAGUGGAAAAGCUGGGGAAAUCGGAAUGAAUACUAGUUAACCAUAAUGUACUAAUAUUGUUUUCCUUGUUUUGACAAAUGUGCCAUGUACUGGAAGAUGUUAACAUUAGGGGAAACUGGGUGAGAGGUAUACAGUAUAAUUCUCUGUAUUAUCUUGGCAAGUGUUCUGUAAAUCUAAAAUUACUCCAAAAUAAAAUGUUUAUUUUUAAAAAAUCCUUUGAUACAAACAGAAAAUUGAGUCAAGUGGUAAGAUGCCGCCCUUUCCCUCCCCUGGCUCCCAGCCCUGUACCCUUUCUUGGGUUUGAGCAGUUGGUUAUUUACCUGGUAGAAGGAUGUGAUUUACCCAUAGACCUGGGCUGACCCCCAGAUGGAAGGAAAAAGGCCAGCAGGGGCGACUUUGUGAAUCACAUCUGUGGAGCAUCCCGCUCACGGAUCCUUCUUGCUGGAUGACAUUCAGAAGCUGAGAAGCAGAAACUGGGACAGAGGCAUUUACACAAAAAAAGCAUGAAUGUGCAAUUCCCUUAAGUUUUUGAGAAAGCAGAGUACCAAAAAUAUCUUCACAGGACUUCACUUCUUGCUUAAUCUCUGUCUUUAGGGAGCUGUAAAGCUAAAGGAGUGGCUUCAAAGCAGAAAUAACUCCAGACCCUCACUUCAAAGCUUCCUAAAUCUUUUUGGUGGGGGUUCCUGUUCAGGUGUUUCUGUGGUUGAUGCUAAAAUAUGGCCUUAUGUCAAUGCUUUCCAUGUGUAUUUUUACAUUCUUUAGUGUAUGAGUUACUAGAAAGUUGUUUAAAAAAUUUUAGACAAUUAUUUAAUAUUAGUUAAAAAAAAAAAGCUCCUUCUCUGGGGCCAGUGAUCUGAGGCUUCCAUCCACAAUCCUUCUCCUCUCCCUGUGCUUACAGCCAUGAAGGAAAGUAUUUGGCAUGUUAUUUUUAUUUUCUGUCCCAUUGCAUACCUCCCCUGAGAUAGGGCAGGCUACUCCUUAAAUUGGGGUGAAAGGAAAAGGGAAAGAGAAAAUGAGAAGGAAGAAAAAAAUGCACAUUUCACCAUAUUAUCCAGCCACAUUUAGUCCAUUUUUCUAGCGUCCAGGAGUCUGCUUGGCAUAUUUUCUAGGAUUGUGAGCAAUUGAGUGGUGAUGAGCAGUGAGCGCUCAGGAGUUUGUUUUCAUUUUGUUUUCUUCAUACCUUUAAAAAAAAUUACAUAAGAAAUACACAUUCACUGCAGAAAAUCUUUAAAAAAAAUACAGAUAGACAAAAUAUUAAAACAAAUAAAAAUCACUUGGAAUCUCAGAAAUAAUCACCCUGGUCCAGCGUACCACCAAGCUCUCAGUGCAAGAACCAGCACACGUACAGAAACAGAAGUGAGGGAAGAAGCCUGAAGCUUGUGAACCUCCAGCUCUAGGAGCUUCUGAGACUCAGAUGCCUGCCUUUCUUGUGGCGUGGGGGUUUCAUGUUUUGCUCAUGGCUAAUUGUCACCAUCACACUAACCUUCUGUAUCAGAUAGGACUUUUCUGGUUGUAAGUGACAGAAACCCAACUCAAAUUUAUUUAUGUAAAAAUAAAUAAAAACAGGACGUCUGCUCAGAUCGUGUAAGUUUGAAUACCAGCUCUACAGGAUCUUUAGCAUGUUACUUGACCUCUUAAAGUCUCUGUUGCCUCGUCUGGAAAACAGUACCCAUCUUCUCAAGAGGUUGAAUGAAAUAAGGCCUGUGCCUGGCACGUGAUAACCACUCCAUCGAUGGUAGCUGGUGCCAGGCGUCACUCAGUAGUAUCUGGUCUCCUGAGGAGUGGGGACAGUUGUGUUGCUAGAGUGUUAUCACUAGAGGAGGUUGGAAGGCAGGCAACAAAGGGGAGUGAGGUAGGAGCUUUCCUUUUCACAAGUACACACCCUCGUGAAGCCCAUAUGACCCGCUGCAAGGAUUGCUGGUGUGGACAGCCGUGCUGCGGACGUCGUCCUCCACGUGAGCUCCCCAAGGAGUGCUCAUAGUGCCCCGAGUGGCUACUUCUUGACUAACGGGCAGGCCCCUGCAGCCAGAGUCCAGGAGAACUUCAAACUCCGUCUAUCAUGAAGGGGGAUUUCUCUGCACAUCACUUGGGCAGCUGAGAGCUCUGCAGUGUGAGAUGGUGCUUUCAGGCCUGCCUGGAGGCAGAAAAUCGUGUGAGGCACCUCUGAGAGUUUAGGGCUGCUUGUUCUCCAGACGGUACGCUCACACGUUGUGUUUAUGGCCUAAUUCCAUCUUUUUGUCUCUUUUGGUCAAAUCAACCCAUUUUGCAGGGUAUUUAGGAUCUAGUUAAUAAAAAAUGUAAUGAAAAACCAGUCAAAGUCUGGUAAAACCCUCCUCAGAAAUGAUUACCUUAAUCUCUAAUUCAUGGAUCUUCAACUGUUCUUACUAAACAUUCAAAGGUUCCUUAUGGGAUAGUUAUAGAAGCACCCCUGGGAUACAGUGCACUCUGGUCUGCAGAGCCAGGUCAAUGUCAAUGUCUAAUCAGAAUUUGCGAUAAACUAACGUAUACAAACAAUCAGAUCUGGCUUGAGACGGCCUAGAUUGAAACUAUAGGCUCAGAAGGGACAUGCUGUUUCUCCUCAAGUCCCAGGGUCAGGCUGGUGAGGCCGUAAGGGAUUUCUCUUCCUAGGCACUAGGUCUGUAGCCCAGGUAAAGCUGUCACCCGUGUGAACCGUGAGCUUGUGAUCCAAGCAGACAGGUUUUUCCUAAGUCUGGCUAACUGAGUCACAAACUAUAGCACCCCACCCAGCCCAUUUAUGUUUUUUUCCUACCAAAAUAAAACUCUCCAUUAAAACCAAACAGCAAUUAAACAAUUUCUAAUCUUCACUGUACAUACAAGGCAACCUGCAAUUUAGAGCAAGAUUUAAAGAGAUAGACACAUCUCUUAGUUUUUUCCCACCAAUCUCCUUCAAUAGCUGGGAAUCUUUGUUUAAUCUGACUCCAGGUCUUACUUUGUGUUUGAGUAAAACACUCACCCUGCCUCUUCUGCGGCUUCUCCAUGUCCCAGUUGCAACUGCGGGAACCCUGAUCAGUGGCAUCAAAGUUGUAAUUUAAAGCUUUUGGGAGGCCCAUGCUUUCUUUGUGUGAGGCAGUUAUCAGUCCUUGCUAUCGAACCACUUAUUCCCUCUUUGUUGUUCUGUGUAAUAGAGAAAGCACGUCCCGCUCCUGGUGACUUGGCAACACACUGAAUAAGAGAGAGAGAUGGUGGCCAUAGCAGGUGUGCACAGCAGGACCCUUCCAAGACCUCCUCCUCUGUGGUCCUUUUCUAAUCAGAAGGAAUCAUUGGUUUCCCUUUUCAAAGGGGCUGGUCUACUUCGCCUCAUCACAGGGCAGAGACUAGCUCAGUGGUUAAAUUCAGCAUCAGAAUGAAGCAGGUCUCCCUGCUCUCUGAAGUUUCCAGACUACUUCUACCACAGACAUAUUAAGGUCUUGAAAUGAAGUUUUACUUUCGUCUAAGAAGCACACACUUAACUUUAAAAGUUAAUGCCAAAAGGAUCCUAAGGAAAAACAGUUGUCUCCUGUCCCAUUUACUAAACUAUUUUUAACUUAUUUUUUUCUUUCCCAUUUAUCUCUACUUUUUCUAUGUGAUAGGCACAUAUCAUUGGUUUGAGUUGUGAAUUUUAGACUCUAUCUAUCAGCUUUCUCAUAGGUUAAAUGGGAUACAGCUUUCUUGCUGUCUUCCACAUCCACUUUCCACUCUUCUUUCUGCCAAGAUUGUAAAUUUUGGUUAUAUCCAUUUGCAGCAUUUGUAUUAUUUUGACUAUGUAAAUACUGUCAUUGCAGAGCCAAGCAUAAUUGUAAUUAUGCUUCCUUUCUUAUAAACUUUUUGAUAUUCCUAGGGCUAAUAAUUCCCCUCUACUCCCACCGCCAUUUGCUUAAAUUUCUCAGUCCCUAUGGGAUGCCUUCUUAAUAUGUUUAUUCACAUAGUUAAAUAUACCAGAGAAAUAACCUGAUAACUUUCCUUCCUCCAUCAUCUUGCUCCAAGCUGACUUGUUGCUCUCUGGGCCGACUAUGCAGCUAUGGUUCAGGAACUUAUCAUCAUCAUCCCGGAAAUCCUCUUUGACUCUCACCUGUGGUUCAUCCUGUUUCCUGGAUCCUGUGUCUUCCUCUUUUUUGGUUUAUUAACUCCUUCAUUUUCGUGGAUUACAUUCUCAAAUAGUUUCCUGAGAAAGAAUGCAUGGGAGAAAAGUCUUUUGAGAAUUUUCAAGCCUGAAUUUUUUUUCAUCCUUAUACUUGAUUGAUAAUUUGGCUAGGUAUAGAAUUUUAGACUGAAGAUGAUUUUUUCCCUUAGAAUUUUGAAGGUGUUGCUCUAUAUUCUCUAGCUUCCAAAUUACAGCGGAGAAGUGGCCACUCUUAUUUCUAGUUAUUUUGAUGUAACCUUUUUUUUUUCUUCUCCUUAGCAACCUCUGUUCGUCCCUGGUAUUCUGAAAUGUUAUCAUGAUAUGGAUUGUAUUCUUUGUGUUGGCACUUGAUGGACCCUCUUAAUCUAGAAACUCAAAUCUUUCUAUACUAGGAAUUAUUCUUGAGUUGUUUGUUUGAUAAAUUUCUUCCCUUCUCAAUUUUCUGUUUUCUGCUUCUAGAAUUCUUGUUUAUUGGAUAUUGGACUCCUUGAAUUGAUCCUCUAAUUUUCCAGCUCAUUAUCUCCUAUUGUCUCUCUCUUUGUUAUUUUGUUCUGUUUUCUGGGAGACCCCCUUGAAUUGACCUUUCACCCUCCUAUUGAUUUUUUUUUCAACUUUGGCUAUUGCUUUUUAAAUUUUCAACUGCUCUUACAGAUUUUCUACUUCUCCUCCUUCUACAGUAUCCUCUUCUUGCUAUUAUCUCUCCAAAGAUUACAUACAAUUUUUCCCUGAAGUUUUUUCUUCUUGAUCUUUUCUUCAAGUCACUGUUUCCUGUCUAUUUGUUCUGGCUUUUGUUUUUCACCUUGGGGGUCUUUUUCAAAUAUCUGUGGAUCCUUAGCUGUUCAUUAAAGUUUGAGUCAAUCACUACAAGGCUCAUAGGGGGAUCCAUAAGCAUGGAUUGGGUUUUCUUCUGGUGAUCUUCACUGUAGGGCAGUGGUUCUCAGUAGGAAGAGCUCCUAGGGCAUUUUGGAAAGUUGUGAGGAUUUCUAGUUGUCACACUUAUUGGGGAGCUGUGACAUAAUAAGAAAUAGAUAUAUUUUGUCUUUACCCUUGUUUCCUGACACAGAGUUCCUAAAACCCUUGCAAUUUCCCAAGUAAUAGGGGUGCUAGAAGCGUCUUACACAGAGUUCCUAAAUCCCUUGACUUAUUUCCUAGUGAUAGGAGCAUCUUUUGUUCUAAUGAAGCAUCUCUUGGUGGGCUUUUGGAUAGCUUCAGGAUGGGGGUUGGUCACCAGAAAGGCCAAACCAUGAUUAAAAGGUUGGAACUUUCAGUCCCACCUCCUAUCCUCUAGGGAGGUGAGUAGGGCUGGAGAUCAAGUUAACAACCAAACAUGUCUACGUGAUGAAGCCUCCAUAGAAAUCCCUAAGCUACAGUGUUUAGAAUGCUUCUAGGUCUGAGGUGUUGGGAGGAUAAUGCACCCAAAAUUCUAUGGGGAUAGAAGCUCCUGUGCUCAAAAUUCUUCCAGAUUUUGUCUUAUGUACUUCUUCAUCUUGCUGUUCAUCUUUAUCCUUUAUCAUAUCUUUUAUAAUAGACUGUUAAACAUAAGUAAGUGUUUCUGUGAAUUUUGUGAGCCAUUAUAGCAAAUUAUCAAACCUGAGAAGGCGUUUGUGGGAAGUGUGAUUUAUAGCCAGUUGUCAGAAGUAAAGGUGACAACCUGGGACUUAUGAUUGCUGUCUGAAGUGGGGGGCAGUCUUGUAGGACUGAGCCCUUAACCUGAGGGGUCUGUGCCAACUCUGAAUAGUUAGUGUCGAAGUUGAAUUGUAGGACACCCAGUGGAUGUCUGGAGAGUUGGAGAAUUGGUUGAUGUAGGGGAAAACCACACACAUUUGGUGUCAGAAGUAUUGUGAGUGUAGAGGAACCAAGUUUUCCUUGAGGGGCCUACUAGUAUUUAGUAUGUGGGGGCCAAGGAUGCUAGUUGACUUGUAG